GAUGAACGCUGGCGGCGUGCCUAAUACAUGCAAGUCGAGCGAAUGGAUUAAGAGCUUGCUCUUAUGAAGUUAGCGGCGGACGGGUGAGUAACACGUGGGUAACCUGCCCAUAAGACUGGGAUAACUCCGGGAAACCGGGGCUAAUACCGGAUAACAUUUUGAACCGCAUGGUUCGAAAUUGAAAGGCGGCUUCGGCUGUCACUUAUGGAUGGACCCGCGUCGCAUUAGCUAGUUGGUGAGGUAACGGCUCACCAAGGCAACGAUGCGUAGCCGACCGGAGAGGGGGAUCGGCCACACUGGGACUGAGACACGGCCCAGACUCCUACGGGAGGCAGCAGUAGGGAACCUUCCGCAAUGGACGAAAGUCUGACGGAGCAACGCCGCGUGAGUGAUGAAGGCUUUCGGGUCGUAAAACUCUGUUGUUAGGGAAGAACAAGUGCUAGUUGAAUAAGCUGGCACCUUGACGGUACCUAACCAGAAAGCCACGGCUAACUGCGUGCCAGCCGCCGCAGUAA
rnacentral:rRNA from 1 species